rnacentral:rRNA from 1 species
GAUGAACGCUGGCGGCGUGCCUAAUACAUGCAAGUCGAGCGAACAGACGAGGAGCUUGCUCCUCUGACGUUAGCGGCGGACGGGUGAGUAACACGUGGAUAACCUACCUAUAAGACUGGGAUAACUUCGGGAAACCGGAGCUAAUACCGGAUAAUAUAUUGAACCGCAUGGUUCAAUAGUGAAAGACGGUUUUGCUGUCACUUAUAGAUGGAUCCGCGCCGCAUUAGCUAGUUGGUAAGGUAACGGCUUACCAAGGCAACGAUGCGUAGCCGACCUGAGAGGGUGAUCGGCCACACUGGAACUGGGACACGGUCCAGACUCCUACGGGAGGCAGCAGUAGGGAAUCUUCCGCAAUGGGCGAAAGCCUGACGGAGCAACGCCGCGUGAGUGAUGAAGGUCUUCGGAUCGUAAAACUCUGUUAUUAGGGAAGAACAAAUGUGUAAGUAACUAUGCACGUCUUGACGGUACCUAAUCAGAAAGCCACGGCCAACUACGUG